rnacentral:tRNA from 1 species
UAGAAUAUAGUGUAUCAGGUAGCACAAAGAUUUUUGAAUUCUUAAGAGCAGGUUCAAUUCCUACAAUUCUGU